GCAUAUCACUAAGCGGAGGAAACGAAACUAACAAGGAUUCCCCUAGUAACUGCGAGUGAAGAGGGAAAAGCCCAGCACCGAAGGUAGUAUCCAUUUGGGUACCUACCAAUGUGGUGUUAAGGUCAGCUCACGUAGGUGCGGCUCCAUCUCAAGUCCAGCAAUGAGUACGGCUAUGGACUGAGCCCAGAGCGGGUGAAAGGCCCGUUGAGGUGGAGUUCAGAAAUGACCGCGCCUAUUGUGUUUGACCAUGGAGUCGGGUUGUUUGUGAAUGCAGCCCUAAGUGGGUGGUAAACUCCAUCCAAGGCUAAAUACUUACACGAGUCCGAUAGCGAACAAGUACCGUGAGGGAAAGUUGAAAAGUACUUUGAAGAGAGAGUAAACAGUGCGUGAAGCCGCAUAGAGGUUAAACGGGUAGAGUUAAACUGCGUGGGUCAUGGAUUCAGCCGAUGAAUUUGACUUGUGCUUGGACAAAUUGAUUCGUCCUCAGAGUCUGCUUAGCUGCAGGUCCCAUCCAGGAUUCGCGAAGCACUUACCAAGUGUUGCGUGCUCUGUUGAUGAGAUGUCAGUUCAUUGGUGCACUUCCAUGGCUCCUUGACCACGAUCGGUGUCAUUGGACUGUCCUCGUUGUCAAACUGUGGAUGUAGAACAUGUGUCUAUGUCUAUGGUGUGAUAGCACCCCUGCGUAUGCAGGUCACAGUUGGUUUCGAGAUACAAGCCGAUGGACCGGGGCGACGGCCUUGGCGUGCUCUUAUGCCCUSUAAUAGAUUGUGUUGGGUAUGGUUUUUGAGUGCUUGUGUAAGCAGGCCCAUUGACUACUCAGUGUUUUCUAUUACUGUGGUGUUGGAGUGGCCAAUAUUGAGGGCCAAAGUCAGUGGUGUGUGGUAAACUAUCUACCCGA
rnacentral:rRNA from 1 species